UACGUAGGGCGCAAGCGUUGUCCGGAAUUAUUGGGCGUAAAGAGCUCGUAGGCGGCUUGUCACGUCGAUUGUGAAAGCCCGGGGCUUAACUCCGGGUCUGCAGUCGAUACGGGCUAGCUAGAGUGUGGUAGGGGAGAUCGGAAUUCCUGGUGUAGCGGUGAAAUGCGCAGAUAUCAGGAGGAACACCAGUGGCGAAGGCGGAUCUCUGGGCCAUUACUGACGCUGAGGAGCGAAAGCGUGGGGAGCGAACAGG
rnacentral:rRNA from 1 species